rnacentral:lncRNA from 1 species
UAUUAUAUUAUAGCAUUAGAUAAACGCUAUGGUAGAGUGAAACCUAAAAUAACACUUAAUUAAUGUUAUUUUAAAAAUUAAGUGAACGGGAAUAUAAAGUCACAGAUACCGCCAACACUUAUCGAAAAAUUAGAUUUAAGCGCCAAAGAUAUUUUUUAAGCGGCUUCAACAAUGCUAUCAAAGACAUAUAAUAGCAUUUUUAUAACACUAAGAAAAGCUCUUUGAACCCCUAAACUCUAAACAUGGUUUUAAACUCUAAACAUUGUUUUAAACCCUAAACUUUAAAGACAACCUUUAAACCUCUAAUAUUGUCGUACUAUAACUUCAAAUCUUAAAAUUAAAAUCAAAAUUUAAUCUUUUUAAUCUUAAUCUAUAAUUUCCUAAACACAUAUCUUUAAUCUUUAAUCAAACUCUAUAUCUUAAAUCUGAACUUCAAACGUAAACUAAACAUUCAAUACUCUAAAUAUAAACCUCAAAUCUAAACUAUUAAAUAUUUAACUACAAAUCUUCUAGUAUUCAAAUCUAUUAUUUUCCAAUCUUAAUCCAAAACACUAAAUUUUAACCCUAAACCUCAUAUUCCAACAUCAACACCUUAAAUCAUAAAACUAAAUU